GCUAUGAUUAUUAUCGCUUUUUAACCCUGAUUCACUAUGAGGAUCAAAAACAACAACAACACUCUAAUUUUUUAAUGAGC
rnacentral:snoRNA from 1 species